AAUCGGUUCUGGUGCUGGGGCAGCCUCCUGUAACACUAUCCUGAGAGGAUGACUCCGCCUGGGUUGGGGACAGAGAGCAGAGAGGCCGGGGGUCUUCAGGUGGGGCCCCUGCAUGUGUCUGCGUUCACAUUUCAAAGUGGCUUUCACUCAGAGGAAGGUGGAGCUUAGCAAAGAAUUGCGCAGAUCAAGGAGCAGCAGAAAUGGGGGCCUCCCCCUGCAGGAGCAGCCCAUGGGUCAGAAGUGGGGCUGGCAUCGGGGUGAGCCAGGACAUCCCAGGAUGGAAGAACUAAAUGAAUGGCCACAGAACGGGGAUCACUGGAGCAGGAAGUGGCCUCCCCCAUGCGCCUUCACGCCUGGCUGAAAUCUAAUCCUCAUUCUUGGGCCCUCAUGUCACGGCCCGGGCCUGGCUUCCCAGCAGCCUGAUGCAGCCAAGCUGUUCCCACUCUUCUCUCUUCCUCCAGAGGAAGGACCUUUGCCGAUGAAGUCAUGGGAAUAAAACCUCCCUCUGCCCUGAAAACAGUGGGACCGUGAAGUCAGCUUGUUGUGUGGCCUCCAGAGGCCCAGGCGGGUAGCCUUCGCUGUUUACUGGGCCUUGCAAGCCCACGACGUCAUCUAAUUUGCAAAUCGUGUGAUUAUCCCCAUUGCACAGAUGAGGAAACUGAGGCUCAGAUCUUGGGAUUGGCCCAAGGUCACAGAGCCAAUAAAUGAAACCACAUCCAGGUCUGGCCCCUACAACUUGAGGUCAGUUGCUCUGGAGAACCUACAGAUUUAGUUCAGUUCAGUGAGCAUUUGUGCAGUUGUGCAGUUCCCAUGACGUGCCGGCACCAGGCCGAGCACUCGGAAUACAUUGUGGCCUCCUGCAUGGGUGUGUGGGCAGUCUCGGGUCUCUCGGGAGACAAUUCUUUCUCACUCCUGCCCAGAGGGUCUCUUGAGUUUUCUGCUAAUUGUCUACAUGUUUUUAAUAGAUUAAUUAAAAUAAUCAUCUUUAGCUCUCCUCUCAGUUGAAUGCAAUGCCAUUUUGGAAAGAAUCACAUUCUUAAAUGUGACUGUGAUCAAAAUCGUCUUGGCUUCUGAGGGAGUCAUGAUGUCUCCUGGGGUUUGUUCCAAACAGGAUACUUCCCCCAUGGAGAUUCCUGUCCUAGUCUACCUCAGUCUCAGUGACAGCCACACACCUGGCUGCCCUGCCACGUACCUGGUGCUGCAGAGUCCGGGAGAAGCAGCCACACUUCAGACCGAUCAGCUGAUACCACGCCGGGCACUGGGGAGGGACGGUGAAUGACACGGCCCCGGAGGUGCAGCAUCUUUCCUGUGUACGUGGCUGUGCCCUCUCUCCUUAAGCCAUUGGCACAUUCUCCAUCCAUACACAUGCUUUCAGCUGGAUCAACUGAUGGCCCAACCAACUGGAGUAGUGGCCUGUAUCCUUCUGUUUUCUUGCUAUAAAGGAAAAUGUGAGGCUGGGUAAUUUACAAAGAAAAGAGGUUUAUUUGGCUCACAGUUCUGCAGGAUGUACAGGAAGCAUAGUGCCAGCAUCUGCUUCUGGUGAGGCCUCAGGAAGCUUCCACUCACGGUGGCAGGGGAAGGGGAGCAGGUGUGUCACACAGUGAGGGAGCAAGGGAGAGCAGGGGAGGUGUCAGGCUCUUUAACGAUCAGCUCUCCGUGAACGCACCAGCGUUACUGCACCAUGCCAUGCCUGAGGGAUCCGCCCCCAUGAUCUAAACGCCUCCCACCAGGCCCAACUCCAACACCAGCGAUCAGACUCAACAGACUCAACAUGAGAUUCGGAGGGGACAGAUCUCCAAGCUAUGUCAUGGUCUAUACUGACUAUGGAAAACUGUCAGGUGACCAGUCCAUUUAAUUACAGUCACAUGAGGGUGUCAAUGGCCUGAUCCCAGCAACCACUGUCCCUGCCUGAAUAGAGAAGAUGCCAGAUAAUAAAAGGGGCCUGUCUGUGAGGUGUUGGAAAACUCAAGUCCGGUGGAAGUGGCUGGAAGCAUGCCUAGGCCCCAGCUUACUUGGGGACCCGGGGGAGCUGAGAUACAGUUGGCAGUGCUGGGCCUGGCUGAGGGCCCUGUGUGCUCACUGAAGGCUGAGGGGCCUCAGUUUACCCAGCAUCCUCUAUGGGAAAGACAACACGCACCUACCUGGAGGACAUGAGCACAUGGGGCCUGGAGGUGGGUUUCGCCCGCACACCCCUGUGGGCAUUUGCACAUGUUCCAAGGCUACGCGCUCCCCUUUCUAGAAGCCCAUAUUAGCCUCAAGCCUUCUAAUGAGUCCUUGCUGUCCUGGAUUUUGAUGAUGGAAGGGGAUACCUUGGCUGCCCUAUGGCUGUCGCUUGGUGAGUGAGUGCAUUAAUGUCCCUUCGUGCAAAGCUCUCAAGUGGGUGACGUGUGCCGGACCUUCUGGCCGCCGUCCUGGUGCCCUGGCCACCUUCUCCACCUGUUCUGUGUCCCCAGGUGGCCACUACAGCCUGUCAAUGGCCUCUCUUCCCUCUGGGUUCUGGUUGGGCUUGGCCUGUAGGAGGCGCUAGUGGGAGACAGGGGGCAGGCCAGAGAGAGAGGGCAGAUGGACUCUGCCACCUCCUCCCAGCUGGACAACAGGGGUGGUGGCUGCGUUCCCCCGCCAAGGCCCUCUCUCAGCAGCUCCCUGGAGUCUGCGUCUGCCCUUUCCCUUCUCCCAAGACGGGGUGGGGGGGGUGGCACUCCCACUGCUGCUGUCCUGGGAUGCCUCUCCAGCCACUGGGCUCCCUUCACCCUGCCCACAGCAUGGGGAGAGGCCGUCGUGAAACUCUCCUUAGCCACUCACCUCAAUACCCAGCAGACGCCCCUUUCCUCCUGGUGCCCUGAAGGCUGCGAUGGCCCCCUGAAUCAGGAGCCCAGCUGAUCGGACGAGGUGCACUUUGGCACCUCAAAGCUGGGAGCCAGGCCCUGGAGAGGCCCACUCCUUCCACCCGAGGACCGCCCAUAUUCCCAUAGGGUGUGCAAGGGUGGACAGCAGGCGUUGCUCUGGCACGCCGCCCUUUUGGCUACUUUGUGAUCAAAGCCAGCCUAUUUUGACAUUUCAUGUCUUCAGUUUUAUUUUUAUUUAUUUUAAAAUAUUCUUGCAGAAA
ensembl:lncRNA KLHL30-AS1 KLHL30 antisense RNA 1